rnacentral:lncRNA from 1 species
GCUCCACUCACCAGACACAAAAUAUUCACCCCCAAAUAGCGCCUCCAGUGACCCACCUCCAGCUACACCCUACCUGCCUACAGUUACCACCCACUUAAUCCCUAUCAGUGGAUUAAUCCACCAAUUAGGUCAAGGCUCUUCUAAUGGAAACAUUUCAGCUCUGAACAUUCCUGCAUUGUCUCACACAUGAGCUUUUGGAGGACACUUCACCUCUAAGCCAUAAAACCCAGGGACACAUACUCCUUAUCACACUUCAUUAAACAUUUCAAAUAAAGAAGUUCGUAUUAUUAUAACCCUAUAAUAAUAAAUGUUAUACUCUCAAAAAACGCCCCUAACAAAAUAACACAUCCCAUGGAAAAAUGGUUAAAAUAAAUAUCUCUGCUGUUUUUUUUAAAAAUUAUUUGGAGAAAGUUGGAUCUUGCCAUCUGUUGCCACACAGUUAACUAGUCAUGUAGUAAAUACAAUCUGAGAACACGAAUCUGUUUCCAUUCACUGAACUCGUUAAUCAUGGGCCUAAUGUGAUGACAUAGUUCUGCUCCCAUUCUAAAUUUGUUUUAAGAUGAUAAAGGCUCAUCCUGGGAUAUUUUAUUUAUUUUUGAUUGCCAAGUGACAAAAUAAAAUUUAAUAUCCUGUUUUUUUUUUAAAUUCCAUUGUGGUGGAGAAAAUAUGCAAAUUCAUGUGAGAUGCAAAAUGGAACGAAAUAGCUUGUACAUAUGGAGAUCUAGGAGCAGGUGGUUUUCUUUUCCUCUAACUUGGGUAAAUUUUUUAGAAGCUUGGUAUUUGAGGAUCGGAGAGUCCAAGAUUCCCUCCUGCCAAUAGUUCUGACUAGAACAAACUGUACUUUCAGGUCCACAAACCUCCAUAUCUGAUCGAAGAUAUUACGAACCAUCUCCAUAGAUUUCACAGGCAGGAAACCAUUUGUUAAUUAUAUACGUAAAAACUGUUAAGACCAAUUAGCUAAAAAUAAUUACCUGAUUCAACAAUCACUUGUUAAGUGCUUAUUCUCUGCCAGACAUUGUGCCUGAAGAUAGAAAGAUGAUGAUCAGCAACAUAAUCAUGUUUUCUGUUCUGAUAGAUCUUACAGUUUUAAGAGUUACAUUAGCUGGCACACUCAGGUGAUAUUUUAAACUUAAAAAAAAAUACUCUCUGAAGAUCUGUUCUCUUUGUCAUGCAGAAGCAAUAUUUUAACCAAACAUGUUUUUCUGUAUCUUUUGGCUAUCAAUGAGAUUUUUUUAAAUUGCAUGUAAUUGAAUUUUUAAAAAUUAUACACAUUCCCAUCAACAUGGAAAGUCUUGAUUCUGCAGCCAACACUGGCCUUAUUUUUCUUUUCCUUGUUUACUUAAAGAAUGAAGAAAAAGUGAGAAUUUCCUCUGUUGUC